UCGGAAUUCCAAUUUGUUGUAGGCUACAUUAUUUAUAUAGCGUCAAUUCCCAAAAGUAUUUUUUCCGAUUUUAAACUCAGAAAUUCAGCCUUCUGAUUACAAAUUGCGCGGAAGGAUUGAAUUACCUCCAAAUCUUAAUUUUUUUUUUUUUCUUGGUUUGUAUUGUAUCAUUUGAAACUAAAUCAGAUUUAUGAAGGACACUUUUUCUGUUGAAAAUAUUGCUAGUUUUUUCUCAGCGACGCAGUUUCCUCUCCUAUCUCCCACGGGUGACCCGUCUGUUAGCUUCGACCACCGCCACGGGAAGCGGGACCCACACCGUAGCUAAACUUUCCACCGUGUUUAAAAUCAUAGUUUUCUUAUGGAUAAUUUUUCGCUGGACCAUAAAACAGUCGUCGCUUAGCUAAGAGGUGAGGUGAUUUGUUGAGCUUUUUAAAAUGAACGCCAUGUUAAAACGGACGUUAGCAAUAGGUAACAAUAGUUAGCAUGGCUAGCAUCAAGCCAACUGGAGGCUAGCUAGCAAAGUAAAUGACGCAGCUGAUUAACAAGCUAACAUUAAUGGAGAAAGCGGACGACGAGUUUAGGCACCAAAAUUCUGCCCAAGCUGAGAGAAGAUCCCAAGCAGAGCUGUGAAGGAUGAAAUUCUCGCUGGUCCAGACCAUUGUUGAUCUGUACCUGCAGAUCAUUCCCGGCUGAAGGAGAAGCUGUUGUGUGAAGAAAACCAACCGCUGGUGGAAGUUGGGUCACCAUAUCAGGAGUGAUUGGGUCUCCAAAGAGCUCUGCUGGUUGCUGCUUGGCCGCUUCGUUGGUCUGGAUGUUGAGGAUGAUGCAGGAGUCAUCGUCUUCCUGCACUUCUGCAGCUUCUUGUUCGAUAAAAAUAAACAGUAACGGGUC